CCUACGGGAGGCAGCAGUGAGGAAUAUUGGUCAAUGGCCGGAAGGCUGAACCAGCCAUGCCGCGUGAAGGUCAGUGCCCUAUGGGCGUUAAACUUCUUUUGUGCGGGAGCAAUAAUGGUCACGUGUGGCCAGACGAGAGUACCGUACGAAUAAGCAUCGGCUAACUCCGUGCCAGCAGCCGCGGUAAUACGGGGGAUGCAAGCGUUAUCCAGAUUUAUUGGGUUUAAAGGGUGCGUAGGCUGUGAGGUAAGUCAGCGGUGAAAUGCCCCCGCUCAACGGGGUGAAGUGCCAUUGAUACUGCCUGGCUGGAAUGCGGAUGCCGUGGGAGGAAUGUGUGGUGUAGCGGUGAAAUGCAUAGAUAUCACACAGAACACCGAUUGCGAAGGCAUCUCACGAAUCCGCGAUUGACGCUGAUGCACGAAAGCGUGGGUAUCAAACAGGAUUAGAUACCCUAGUAGUC
rnacentral:rRNA from 1 species